UAAAAGUCGUAACAAGGUUUCUGUAGGUGAACCUGCAGAAGGAUCAUUAGUGAAGAUUUGGGCAGGCCAUACGGACGCCAAAAAGUGUCCCUGGCCGCCUACACCCACUAUACAUCCACAAACCCGUGUGCACUGUCUUGGAGAAAGGCUUCAGAGAAGUUUUUUGUGGCCUCUCUUGGGGUCUUUCUUCGCUACAAACUCGAAUGGUUAGUGUGAACGUGGAACUUGGUUGGACCGUCACUGGCCAACAAACUAUACACAACUUUCGACAACGGAUCUCUUGGUUCUCCCAUCGAUGAAGAACGCAGCGAAACGCGAUAGGUAAUGUGAAUUGCAGAAUUCCGUGAAUCAUCGAAUCUUUGAACGCACCUUGCGCUCUAUGGCAAUCCGUAGAGCAUGCCUGUUUGAGUGCCAUGAAAUCUCCCACCCCAAGCGGUUUUUAAAUGAAACGGCUUGGCGGAUGGGGUCUGGAUGGGUGCCUCUGCCUGCGCUACCUAGCACAGGCUCGCCCGAAAUGCAUGAGCGCCUUGAGACACUUUGCAUCCGCCUCUCUGUUUGGGAGGAGGCGGCCAAGCAGUGUUUUUCUCCUGGCAUGGCAUGAUACGUCAUUUGCUAUGUCGCCUAAAGGAGGAAUGUUUGGUUGUGUCUGCGUGUGCUUCGAACUUGCCUCUGUGGCACAUCCCAAUUUCACUUCUGGUCUCAAAUCAGGUAGGAUCACCCGCUGAACUUAAGCAUAUCAAUA
rnacentral:rRNA from 1 species